rnacentral:lncRNA from 1 species
AUCACUGAAGUGUACUGAACAGAAAACUUUAUAUGAAAUUGACGUGAAGUAGUUUCACUAAUUUAUUUACAGUGGCUGCACCACUACAGAUGAGUCCUUGUGUCCCCCCAUAAAUAAAUACAUGUAUAAAAUAAGACAAAUAAGGUUCAAAAUGACACAAAUAUUUUAUUCAUGUGUUCAUAAAAGCACCUUCAAAAUUAAAAAACAAAAAAACAAAACCGUAACGUAAAGUCUCAGUAAAAAUCCAGUGCCAGUUAUGCAAAAGAAGCUUCAAAGUAUGCUGUGAUCCUCCCUUUUCCGCUCAGAUUGCAGCCCAAGGGCUAGUCCUAUAUGAAAGGGCCCCCCUUGUUCACCUCCACCAGGGACAAAUAAUAGAGUUUUAAGAGGAUAGGCCCUGGAGUUAGAGAGCUGGGUAUUCACACCUGCAAGUUACUUACCUUCGUUAAGCCUCAGUUCCUCACAUCUGUAAAAUCGGGUUAAUAAUAGUGCCUGAUCUUAGGACUGGUGUAAAGAUUAAUGAGAUAUGAUGGGAUGCAGUUAAAGUAACAUCCUGGCUGAAUGUUUAAUGAAUGGCUGCUUGCACUUAUUUAUUUUGUUAUCCUGUCGUGUCCCAGAAAGUCUUUUGGUAGCUUACAAGGGGACAUCAAAGAUGACAAAGAGGAGUGGAAGAAGACAGAAUCAAUGUGAGGAGCCUGGAACAGGGCUCUGAAUCGUCCUCCCACAAUGAAGUCACUUGGCUAGAGCUGAGCCACGAAUUUGACUCUGAGCAUCUAGGAUGAAAAAGAAGAACUGGCACCUAUGCCAUCUCUGCCCCUCGGGACUGACUACUUUGUCUUCUAGUAAAAUUGAUGCUCCAAGAAGAUACACAACGUUGACCAUGUGGAUUCAGAUAUCUCCUGCUUGGAUCUCAGCCUGGAUCUUGUUUGAGAAGCAUAGAUUAGCUACAGAACCAGUGGCCUGCUCCUCUCUCCCUUCUCUGCUUUUGUUCUCCACCAACACUGAAGUCAUAAAAGACUAGAGGGAGCUGGAGUGUGAGGUCCAGAAACUUGUAUGACCCAGAGCGCCAUGUCGUACAUCCAAUAAAGUUAAACUCUGCAAGCAAGAGAGAGAAGAGGAAGGAAAGGAGAGAAUCUAAAGUGUGUGAUUCUGUUUACCAUUCCACAGAGUAAGUGGCUGCCUGGGAGUGAGUGUGAGAAGGGAGUGGGAGGAAUCUUCUGUUCUUCCCUUGGACCUCAGUUCCAGGGAACUUUUCAGUGUGUAAACAUCUUACCAUGGACAUUCUGGGUUUCAAUUUAAAAAUAGGCAUUUUUGGUUUGACAUAAUCUGUCACUGAAACCAGCUGCUUCAGCUGACGGUCAAACUAAGAGUCAAGGAUUAACUGAACAGUUAGGGACACAGUGGCCGUGGCGAAACUUACUGAGAAAUGGCCAUCUCCCAUGCAGCAUUCUGCUGAGGGAUUUCAAGGGCAUUUUGACUUUUGACUUUUUUACCUGGUGUGCUGACUUGGCGAGCUAACCCCUGGGCAAGAUGCCACUCAAGAAGCUACUCUGUUGUUUAUAAUUAAGACAACAGUUGAGGUGGCCCUGGACUUUGAGGUUUAAACAAUAGUGACUUAAGCUCUUUCUCCUGUUUUCUGGGGGAAGUCCAGCUUGCUCACUGAGAGCCCCGCUGUCUCUGGGGCUGACAGUCCCGUGAUUUGUUCUGGCUCCAGAUGUCCACCCCCGAGGAGCUCUGAAUUCAUGGUCUCACAUGAAGGGACGGCACCCUGCUCUCCCUAUGCAAGUCACUGAGCUUCAUGUCAAACUUGGCCUCUGUGUUUUGUUCCCACCAGGCCCUUCUCCCAAGAAAGGUACACGUGGCAAACUUUACUCAGUGUGGGGACUCAGGAGGGAUUUUUAAAAAAUCAUAAAAAUGCCAAGUUUAAAAUUAGAUCAUAUUAGUGUUGCUUUCCUUAGAAGGAAGAAAAAAAGUUUAAAAAUUAAAAGAAGAGAUAAAAUUAGAUCUUAUAUAUCUCUCUCCUAAAAAGUGCCUUAACAGCCUUGCUGUAGGGGAUGUUGUUCUCACCGACCACUUUUCUUGGAAGAUUCCAGCCUUCUACCUUGUUGUUUGCCUUCUCUGUCCAUAAAACAUUCAAAUUCUCUCAUUUAUCCUAGAAGGCAAUUUAGAUCUACAGCCCCUACACAGUCCUAGACCUCUUUUCUGUAUCUACUAUUAAGUACCACUCACACCAAGGGUCACCCACUCUGAGUUUCAAUCAUUAUUAAUGAAGAAGAGAAAGUGGAGGCUUAGAAAUUCCCAUAUUUUCUUCAUGUCUCUCCACCAGUCUGCAAGUGAAAUAGAGUCUGAUAGAGAUUUA